GGAGUUGGCUGGGUAAUCGCUGCUUUGUCGUUGUGUCUUCGGGCAGACGGACAAAGGGGAGGAAAGUCCGGGCUCCAUAGGGCAGGGUGCCAGGUAACACCUGGGGAGCGUGAGCUCACGACCAGUGCAGCAGAGAGUAAACCGCCGAUGGCCUUAGGGCACAGGUAAGGGUGAAAGGGUGCGGUAAGAGCGCACCGCGCGUCUGGCAACAGUGCGUGGCAAGGUAAACUCCACCCGGAGCAAGACCAAAUAGGCCUCCAUGGGCGCGGCCCGCGCUGGAGGCGGGUAGGUUGCUUGAGCCAGUGAGCGAUUGCUGGCCUAGAGGAAUGAUUACUAAUCGAGCUUGCUCGAUACAAAACCCGGCUUAUAAGGCCAACUCCCAUC
rnacentral:RNase_P_RNA from 1 species